AUCCCCGUGGGGAUCCGUGGGUUCCAUCCCCGGUGGUUCCAAUCCCGUGAGGACCCCGAGGUUCCAUCCCCGUGGGUUCCAUCCCCGUGGGGAUCC